CUUCCGUAGGGUGAACCUGCGGAAGGAUCAUUACCGAGUGUAGGGUUCCUAGCGAGCCCAACCUCCCACCCGUGUUUACUGUACCUUAGUUGCUUCGGCGGGCCCGCCAUUCAUGGCCGCCGGGGGCUCUCAGCCCCGGGCCCGCGCCCGCCGGAGACACCACGAACUCUGUCUGAUCUAGUGAAGUCUGAGUUGAUUGUAUCGCAAUCAGUUAAAACUUUCAACAAUGGAUCUCUUGGUUCCGGCAUCGAUGAAGAACGCAGCGAAAUGCGAUAACUAGUGUGAAUUGCAGAAUUCCGUGAAUCAUCGAGUCUUUGAACGCACAUUGCGCCCCCUGGUAUUCCGGGGGGCAUGCCUGUCCGAGCGUCAUUGCUGCCCAUCAAGCACGGCUUGUGUGUUGGGUCGUCGUCCCCUCUCCGGGGGGGACGGGCCCCAAAGGCAGCGGCGGCACCGCGUCCGAUCCUCGAGCGUAUGGGGCUUUGUCACCCGCUCUGUAGGCCCGGCCGGCGCUUGCCGAACGCAAAUCAAUCUUUUUCCAGGUUGACCUCGGAUCAGGUAGGGAUACCCGCUGAACUUAAGCAUAUCAU
rnacentral:rRNA from 1 species